AUCCAGGGAUGGGAAUCGAACCCACAGUGUUCCGCUUACCGGGCAGAUGCUAUAUCUACUGAGCUACCCUGGA